rnacentral:rRNA from 1 species
GAUGAACGCUGACAGAAUGCUUAACACAUGCAAGUCGAUGGGGAAGUGGUGCUUGCACCAUGGCAACCAUGGCGGACGGGUGAGUAACGCGUAAGGGACUUACCUGCAGGACUGGGAUAACAGGGGGAAACUCCUGACAAGACCGGAUAAUGUCAUGGAGCUGCAUGGCUUUAUGAUGAAAGGAGACGCCUGCGGAGAGCCUUGCGUCCUAUUAGCUAGUUGGUGAGGUAAUGGCUCACCAAGGCGAAGAUAGGUAGCCGGCCUGAGAGGGUGGACGGCCACAAGGGGACUGAGAUACGGCCCUUACUCCUACGGGAGGCAGCAGUGGGGAAUAGUGGACAAUGGGGGCAACCCUGAUCCAGCAAUUCUGUGUGCACGAAGAAGGUUUUCGGAUUGUAAAGGGCUUUCAGCAGGGAAGAAGUAAGUGACGGUACCUGCAGAAGAAGCGACGGCUAAAUACGUG